rnacentral:rRNA from 1 species
CAAUAGCGUAUAUUAAAGUUGUUGCAGUUAAAAAGCUCGUAGUUGGAUUUCUGGUAGGAGUGACCGUUCCGAACUUGAUUGUUCGUGUAUUGUGUUUUCUCCAGCCAUCCUUGUGGAGAACUUCUCUUGCAUUAAUUUGUAGGGAUUGGGACCCGCAUCGUUUACUGUGAAAAAAUUAGAGUGUUUAAAGCAGGCAAUCGCUUGAAUACAUUAGCAUGGAAUAAUAAGAUAGGACUUUGGUACUAUUUUGUUGGUUUGCAUACCAAAUUAAUGAUCAACAGGAACAGUUUGAGGAUAUUCGUAUGAACAUGUCAGAGGUGAAAUUCUUGGAUUUUGAUCAGACGAACUACUGCGAAAGCAUUUAUCAAGGAUGUUUUCAUUAA